UUGCCAGAGAGAGAGAAAUGUCUUGUUUCUUCAGGAAGGGUGGGGUGGAAUAGAUCAGAUCGGAUCGAGAUCGAAGAACAAGGGGGAAGGAAGGAAGGGGUGGAAUUGAAGAAGAUGGGGACGAUGAGGAGGGUGGUGAAGGAGAAGAGGUUCUGGGUCGCCUCCUUCCUCCUCGUCUGGGCUGCCGCGCUCCAGGGGCACAUGAUGUGGAUGCAGCGCCAGGACGCCUUCAAGCAAAAGUUCCCCUCCAACUCCAACCACGACGACGACCUCGCCGGCGCCGACUCCUAGCUAGGCAGCUACUCCUUCCAUUCCAUCCCAUCUAGGGCUUACUGUACUACCCCAGUAGUGGAGCUCCUCCCCUCUACAGUAGUACUUACUUUCUUCUUCAUCACUUGAUGGGUAGUAGUACUCCGUAGUAGCUAAUGAUCGUUGAAAACGAGUACUACGUGUUUGAUGAAUCGCCUGCCUGCCUAAUUGAAUUGCUUCUUACAUACUCCUACUCCGUAGUUUGCUGCUUUGUUGGAUUCAGGCAGCUUAUUAGUAGGAGUAUUAAACUGUCUUGUAUGGACUCACUCGCUCACACCUUCCAUUAGAUUUACAUUUUGGUUUUGGAUCGAUUAAUUCAUGUCCUUCUCCUUCCUUCCUCCUACUACGGUACGGUUCAACGCGCAAACAUUGGAGUAACAUUUAACACUGGGCCUGGCCUGGAACAAUGGAUCUUGACAUCUUCUUCAUUUGGAUGCCGUGGUGGCCGACAUGUUGAUCGGGUAAACUGCUCGCUCUCUAAGUAGAAACUGCAAUGCACACAGCUACUGCUUGAACAAGCCAACCCAACCCAAUUAAUCGGUUCAUACUUCAUACAACUAGUAGUAUGAUAGUAUGCGGCAUAGCAUAGCACAGAUCCACGGGGACGACUGAUUCCAGGUCAAUUAAUCGCAGACGGACGGACGUGCAGUGCAUACAGUACAUGCAUACAACUUCAGUUUCUAUACAAUACAGCUCUGUCCCAACUUCCGAUACAUACAUAUUCAACUGACUAGACUUGGUCUCUCUCUCUCGCCCUGCCCUGUAGGUAAGGAAGGAAAGGAAGAUAGAUAGAUAGAUAGAUAGAUAGAUCGAUCGAUCAUUCUCUCUUCCAACCGUCUUCCCAUGCUGACUCAGCAAUUACUCAACACUUUUAGGCCUGCCUCUGCCUCUGCCUCUCUAUAAAAACCGCCAGAGUAGACAAACCAUCCAUUGCAUGCUUGCUUCCAUCUGAUCUUCUUCUUCCCUGUCCUGACACAGCCUAAUUAGGAGAUCAAGCUCAUCCAAUCCAAGCAGCAACACAACACACAACGUCUCAACUUGGCUUGUUUCAUCGAGCAACAGCAAGCUCCAUUUAAGAUUUGAUUCAAUAUUCCAUUUCCAUGGCUCCCCCUCUCCAAGUCGCGACCACCGCGAGCUCCUCCACCCGCGAGGGGAAGGCACCAGCUCUCAAUGAGAGGAUACUCUCAUCCAUGUCCAAGAGAUCUGUUGCAGCACACCCAUGGCAUGACCUUGAGAUUGGACCUGAGGCACCCACCAUCUUCAACUGUGUCAUCGAAAUACCGAGAGGCAGCAAGGUCAAGUAUGAACUUGAUAAGAAAACCGGGCUCGUAAAAGUAAAGAUACAUGUUUCACUCAUCUUCUUCUGCACUUGCAGUUUUCCUAAGCUUAUGUUUCCUUUUCUGUACCAUGCAACAUGCUCAGGUAGACCGAGUUCUCUACUCUUCAGUCGUCUAUCCUCACAACUAUGGGUUCAUUCCUCGCACGCUGUGCGACGAUAGUGAUCCUUUGGAUGUGCUGGUCAUAAUGCAGGAGCCAGUUAUCCCAGGAUGCUUCCUACGGGCAAAGGCCAUCGGUGUCAUGCCAAUGAUCGAUCAGGUUUGGUCCCUACUCAACAAGUGCGCUUUCUUCAGAAUGAAUGAACAGAUUCUAAAGUGGUAAGGUUUUAUCCAGGGAGAGGCAGAUGAUAAGAUUAUUGCAGUCUGUGCUGAUGAUCCUGAGUACAAGCAUUACAACGAUAUCAAGGACCUCCCACCUCACCGCUUAGCUGAAAUCAGGCGUUUCUUCGAGGACUGUAUCCUUUUAAUUUAUUGCUCUUAAUGUACUUGUUCUAUUUGCAUUCAUAGAGCAUAAAAUAUUCAUGGAACUCUACUGAAACAAGCUCAGCUAGCUUCCCAUUGCCUUAUUUAUCACUGCAGUAUGAAUUAUUUGUAGCUUCUCAAGUUUGAAAGGACAAGGAACAUAUAUGGUUUGUGUUUUUGGAUGGAUGCCUAGUAAUUGUAUCUCUCGCAGAAGUUCGUUGAUUACUGCAUCUUGGCCACUUAGUGCAUGUACAUGUACUUAGACAGUGCUACUAUCUUCUUGAAUUGAGUAUUUUCUUUAAUGGGGUAAAAUAGACAAGAAGAAUGAGAAUAAGGAGGUGGCUGUCAACGACUUCAUGCCUGCCACUUCUGCUUAUGAGACCAUACGCCAUUCCAUGGAUCUAUAUGCUACUUACAUCCUUGAGGGCCUACGCAGAUAGGAGGUGCCUUGUCACUGCUGGAAGAUGUUGACGAAAAAACAUGGACACAUUGCAUUAUAUACGUAUAUAAUACCAUUCUUUCUUACUAUAGAUAAUUUGUAGCCUUGAUGGCAGUACGCCCGACCGAUAAAUAUUCUUUUCCCAGCUCAUAUAUGUGAUAUGAAUAACUGAUUGAGCAAAAUAUGACAUGCUUUGGAAAUUUUGGAUGAA